rnacentral:rRNA from 1 species
AAGGUGCUGCAUGGUUGUCGUCAGCUCGUGCCGUGAGGUGUCGGGUUAAGUCCCGUAACGAGCGCAACCCUUGUCCUUAGUUACCAGCACGUUAUGGUGGGCACUCUAAGGAGACUGCCGGUGACAAACCGGAGGAAGGUGGGGAUGACGUCAAGUCAUCAUGGCCCUUACGGCCUGGGCUACACACGUGCUACAAUGGUCGGUACAAAGGGUUGCCAAGCCGCGAGGUGGAGCUAAUCCCAUAAAACCGAUCGUAGUCCGGAUCGCAGUCUGCAACUCGACUGCGUGAAGUCGGAAUCGCUAGUAAUCGUGAAUCAGAAUGUCACGGUGAAUACGUUCCCGGGCCUU